ensembl:piRNA 21ur-5194 ncRNA
UAAUAAAUUUAUAUGAUUGUG